rnacentral:rRNA from 1 species
UACGUAGGGGGCUAGCGUUGUCCGGAAUCAUUGGGCGUAAAGCGCGUGUAGGCGGUCCGGUAAGUCCGCUGUGAAAGUCGAGGGCUCAACCCUCGAAUGCCGGUGGAUACUGUCGGGCUUGAGUACGGGAGAGGCGAGUGGAAUUCCUGGCGUAGCGGUGGAAUGCGUAGAGAUCCGGAGGAAGACCGGUGGCGAAGGCGGUCUGCUGGGCAGUUUCUGACACUGAGGCGCGACAGCGUGGGGAGCAAACAGG